GUCUGAUCAGUACGAAGAGAGGCAUAAAGGAACACACACUAUAGGCAAAGUUGGCAAACAUUAUGAAUGUGAUGUUUGUAAGAAGAGAUUUCGGCAAUCAGGUAAUUUAACUGUACAUAAAAGAACACACAGUGGAGACAAACCUUAUGAAUGUGAUGUUUGUAAGAAGAAAUUUAGGCAAUCUGUUAAUUUAGCUGUACAUAAAAGAACACACACUGGAGACAAACCUUAUGAAUGUGAUGUUUGCAAGAAGAGAUUUAGACAUUCAGGUAAUUUAACAUCACAUAAACGAACACACACUGGAGACAAACCUCAUGAAUGUGAUGUUUGUCAGACGAGAUUUAGCCAAUCAGGUAGUUCAACUACACAUAAACGAACACACACCGGAGACAAACCUUAUGAAUGUGAUGUUUGUAAGAAAACAUUUCAAAGGUCAGAUAAUUUGGCAUUACAUAAAAGGACACACACUGGAGACAAACCUUAUGAAUGUGAUGUUUGUGAGAAGAAAUUUACACAAUCAGGUCAUUUAACUAAACAUAAAAGAACACACACUCGGGACAAGCCUUAUGAAUGCGAUGUUUGUAAGAAACAAUUUUCCCAAUUGGGUAGUCUUAAUUACCACAAGAAGGGGCGUUUGUUUUGUCACUCUUGCAGCAGAGAGAUUAUUCAACCGCAAGAAAUACAAGAACAAUUUGUUGAGGAUAGAAACACUGGAAAGUAUGCUUGUAACAAAUGUAAUAAACAAUCGUCUGGUUUCAUGAUAUUGGUUCGACAUGUGGCAAGGCAACAUGGUAAUGAUGGAAACUAUCAAUGUGCUUUAUGUCAAGAACUGGAAUCGACAGAACCAACUGGUGUUGGAUAUGUUUGUUGUUUGUGCGAUGUGGUGUUUGAUGUUCCCAGAGACCUGGAAGAUCACAUGGUCACCCAUGACUGAUCAAUCUGAAUAUUGUUGCCGGCUUUGAGUAUAGAGUAAAUCUAUUUACCAAGUCAAAUCCGAGUCAAUUCAGAGCCCGAGUCAAACG